rnacentral:rRNA from 1 species
GAUGAACGCUGGCGGCGUGCCUAAUACAUGCAAGUAGAACGCUGAAGGAGGAGCUUGCUCUUCUGGAUGAGUUGCGAACGGGUGAGUAACGCGUAGAUAACCUGCCUGGUAGCGGGGGAUAACUAUUGGAAACGAUAGCUAAUACCGCAUGACAACAGUUCUUACAUGAUAACUGUUUAAAAGGGGCAACUGCUCCACUACCAGAUGGACCUGCGUUGUAUUAGCUAGUUGGUGAGGUAACGGCUCACCAAGGCGACGAUACAUAGCCGACCUGAGAGGGUGAUCGGCCACACUGGGACUGAGACACGGCCCAGACUCCUACGGGAGGCAGCAGUAGGGAAUCUUCGGCAAUGGACGGAAGUCUGACCGAGCAACGCAGCGUGAGUGAAGAAGGUUUUCGGAUCGUAAAGAUCUGUUGUAAGAGAAGAACGAGUGUGAGAGUGGAAAGUUCACACUGUGACGGUAUCUUACCAGAAAGGGACGGCUAACUACGUG